GACAAGACUAUCACGAGAUAUCAACAUAUCUGCACACAAUUAAUACCAAUUAUGGAGAUGUGGCAUGAUUGCAUGCUUGCAUGAUUGUCACAGAUGAGACGGAAAUCUAACAGAGUUCAAAUGGCGUGGAUUUAUGCAAUUUUAGGUCAACUUACGGAAAAAUCCUUAGCAUACAGUCAGCUAUAAGAGGCACAAUAUCGCUGACGUCAAACCUUUACCUAAACCCAUGUGGGGCAAUGGUGUAACAUUACAACAAAAGAACAAAAAAUGAAAAACAGUUGAAAAGGGCUUUUAACUCAUCAGGAAACCACCAAAAAAACACAGAUCGGACGUGACAGGGAAUUAAUUUAUAAACACCUCC
rnacentral:lncRNA from 1 species